rnacentral:rRNA from 1 species
UGGGGAAUUUUGGACAAUGGGCGAAAGCCUGAUCCAGCAAUGCCGCGUGUGUGAAGAAGGCCUUCGGGUUGUAAAGCACUUUUGUCCGGAAAGAAAUCCUUGGCUCUAAUACAGUCGGGGGAUGACGGUACCGGAAGAAUAAGCACCGGCUAACACGUGCCAGCAGCCGCGGUAAUACGUAGGGUGCAAGCGUUAAUCGGAAUUACUGGGCGUAAAGCGUGCGCAGGCGGUUUGCUAAGACCGAUGUGAAAUCCCCGGGCUCAACCUGGGAACUGCAUUGGUGACUGGCAGGCUAGAGUAUGGCAGAGGGGGGUAGAAUUCCACGUGUAGCAGUGAAAUGCGUAGAGAUGUGGAGGAAUACCGAUGGCGAAGGCAGCCCCCUGGGCCAAUACUGACGCUCAUGCACGAAAGCGUGGGGAGCAAACAGGAUUAGAUACCCUGGUAGUCCACGCCCUAAAACGAUGUCAACUAGUUGUUGGGGAUUCAUUUCCUUAGUAACGUAGCUAACGCGUGAAGUUGACCGCCUGGGGAGUACGGUCGCAAGAUUAAAACUCAAAGGAAUUGAC